AUAAAAAACUAAUAUUUAGGCUUAUUUUGAUAGAAUAAAUUUAGCAAUUUUGCUUUUAUUAUU
rnacentral:tRNA from 1 species